rnacentral:rRNA from 1 species
UACGAAGGGGGCGAGCGUUGUUCGGAUUUACUGGGCGUAAAGGGCGCGUAGGCGGCCUUGUCAGUCAGGCGUGAAAGCCCCGGGCUCAACCUGGGAACGGCGCUUGGGACGGCGAGGCUGGAGUUCGGGAGAGGAGAGUGGAAUUCCCAGUGUAGAGGUGAAAUUCGUAGAUAUUGGGAAGAACACCGGUGGCGAAGGCGGCUCUCUGGACCGACACUGACGCUGAGGCGCGAAAGCGUGGGGAGCAAACAGA